rnacentral:lncRNA from 1 species
GAAAGAAAAUGCUCCAGGAAACAAGAAAAGAUUCUACCCUGCCCUUCGGAUCAACUUGAAGACGACUGGGAUGAAUGAGAACCUCCUUCAAUAGAAUAUAAACAGCACACACAACAGGCAUUCUGGACUUCUCGUGAUAAUUCAAAUUCCAAUUCCAAUAAAAAUAGAUAUGUAUGGAUCAAAUGCAUAUAACAUUUUUUUUGGCACAAAAAAUUAUUCGUACUCCUAUAUUGUUAAUUUAACAUUUCGUGCUAUCAUCACUGCUGGGAGUCUCAUAGGUACACCAUGUCAGCAUUACUUGCUGCACAAACAAAAUUGAGAAGGGGCAAAUGGUAAUGAAAAAGAAUUUGCAAACCUUGGACCAUGCACGAUAUACACAUCAUAUGCAACAACACUCCUUGACCAUUUGACUAGAUAAGACAUUUCAAUUCAGCAGCUUCUGGAAAUAGAUACGCUUAAAGAUUGGGAUAUCAGAUGUUGGCAUUCCAACUUCAUCCAGGUACCCUCUCCAAUGCUCCAGGCUUCGGCCUGUUGCUCUGUUGACCGCAUGAGAGAAAUGACACACACUUCUCAGUUUUCAUCUAUAAUGCUAGUGAAUAAACAUAAGAAUGUUACCGACAUGUCGCUGUUAAUCAUGAAAUAUACAUAUGCGUCCGGGGGGAAGGUAACGGACUGCAAUUUAUAUUAAUAUUAAUAAUAAAAGGGACAGAUAACAAAUAAGUAACAGAGGUAUAUAGAUUUAAGGGAUAUACAAUACAGCAAUAUAUAUAUAUAUAUAUAUAUAUAUAUAUAUAUAUAUAUAUAUAUAUAUAUGCAUACGAAUCAACACGAUAAGUCAUUGUUCUGGUUCUUGGUUACAUUGCCAGCAGCAACUUCUAUAGUUUUGGCAUUGACAUCAUAUGAUGACAGGACUUUUCUCUGCACCCACCAAUGAAAUCAUCUACAGGUCAAGACUGGAGGAGAACUAUCAUUCAGAGAAGUCACGGAUGUUGCAUACUGAAUUAAUAUAACAGCAUAAUCUAAGACUCUUCAGAUAUCAACACUUGGAACAUAAUAUUCAGUCCACAGGUUCCUUAACUAAAGUAUAUUGGUAUAUUUAACACAUAGUAACCUCUUUUUGUAGGUUCAAGUCCUAAAUCCUGAUUUCUUGUCCCAGGGAAGUUCAGUCAUUAAUAUAUCCAGUAGUGUUUGAUAUAUUAAUCUCUCCUUUCUUAUAUAGAUCAUGAUUUUGUUAUGCCAAAGGCGCAGGCCUGAGAAUGAGAAUGCUUGUCUCAUUCUUGACCUAGACUUACAAAGACAACUUUGACAUGGAUCCACCUGGCUAUGCUGAUUGUGAACAUAGUAUAACCUUCAAAUAGACCCAUAAUGAGCAACCUUAUCAAGUAUCAGAACACAGAACAUAAACCAACAGAACACUGAAAAUAGCCAACCAACUUUUUCUCUUGAAUAAUGAUAUUUCUAAUAACAGAAGAGAAGAAGAAGAAAUCAAAAGGGAAAAACUUUUCAUAAUUAUUAAUACGAAAAAGCUUAUCGAAACAGUCGAAUUAAACAUGCAGCAUAUUGUAAUCAAUAAUAUUAUCAGAUCUAGCUGCAAGUUAUGGGGAUUUUGAAACUCUUUCCUUGAUGCUUAAACAAAUGCACAUUCAACGUGCCAGAAAUGCACAUCAUUUAAGAAGCACAGUUAUGAAAACUUCAAAGAGAACAAAUAAAUUAUCAAGUAUGAACACUUUCUGAAUACAAUCAAGAUCCGAACAUGGUGCUCAUAUGCAUAUAUAUAUAUAUAUAUAUAUAUACACACACAACGGAUCAGGUCCGGAC